rnacentral:rRNA from 1 species
CACGUAGGGGCGAGCGUUGUCCGGAAUUACUGGGCGUAAAGGGCGCGCAGGCUGUUUAUGCGAGUCUGCUGUGAAAUGUACCGGGCUCAACCGGUGCCUUGCGGCGGAUACUGCAUAGCUGGAGUACUGGAGAGGGAAGUGGAAUUACCAGUGUAGCGGUGGAAUGCGUAGAUACUGGUAGGAACACCCAUUGCGAAGGCAGCUCGCUGGACAACACGUGACGCUGAGGCGCGAAAGUGUGGGGAGCAAAACCCGGAUUA